GUUCUUGUAUAGGGUGAGGUUUUGGAGAGUAUAUGAUGUAUUUCCAUUUUGGAAAAGAAUGCAAGUUGUAUCAAUGUUUAAAGUUAAAAUGAUAUAAAAAAAAGAGAUUAAAUGUUUCAAUUAUGUCUCUAAUAGUUAAGUUUCUCUCUUUUGUAUACUUGUAUGCCAUUUACUUGUAUCGCUUGCUCUUUGUUGAUAUAUAGCACUGGUUGUGCUCUCGAUUAUCGUUGUGUGAUUGUGUAUGAAUUCAAGUUGUAUUCCUGGGGACUUGUUGUACACAAUCUCGUUGUUGCCUAGCCUAGGGCGGGCAGGGGAGACUCUGCUCGUUCGGCGGUCACGCACGCCGCCCUCGAAUCGGACCAAAUUGGUACCGUUUCGGGUGGUGCGGUCGUGGGGCGUGAC
rnacentral:lncRNA from 1 species